CAGUGAUCACUUUAACGGCCGCGGUACCCUGACCGUGCAAAGGUAGCAUAAUCAUUUGCCUUUUAAUUGGAGGCUAGUAUGAAUGGUCUGACGAGAGUAAAACUGUCUCAUAUAUAUUCAACAAAAACUAACUUAAAGGUGCAAAGGCCUUUAUUCACCAAAAAGACGAGAAGACCCUGUUGAGCUUUAAUCUCACACGAGCAUUUUUUCUAUAUUUAUAAAUCCACUUUGCUCGAUACAGAUUUUAAUUGGGGCGAUUAAGGAACACUCCGUAGCUUCCUGAUUAUGAAUUAAACCGAUCCAGCAAUGUUGAUCAGCAAAAUGAGUUACCACAGGGAUAACAGCAUAAUUCUUCUUAAGAGUCCAUAUCGAAAGAAGAGAUUGUGACCUCGAUGUUGGACUAGGGUAACUAGAAGGUGCAGCCGCUUUCUUGUUUGGUCUGUUCGACCAAUAAUUCCCU
rnacentral:rRNA from 1 species